UACAGAGGGUGCAAGCGUUGUUCGGAAUUAUUGGGCGUAAAGGGCGCGUAGGCGGUGCGGUAAGUCUGUAGUGAAAUCUCUGGGCUCAACUCAGAGUCUGCUAUAGAAACUGCCGUGCUUGAGUGUGGGAGAGGUGAGUGGAAUUCCUGGUGUAGCGGUGAAAUGCGUAGAUAUCAGGAGGAACACCUGUGGCGAAAGCGGCUCACUGGACCACAACUGACGCUGAUGCGCGAAAGCGUGGGGAGCAAACGGG
rnacentral:rRNA from 1 species